CGUUGACAUCCACUGUGGAUGCCCUAAAUAGUUUUUCUUCUGGAUCAAAUUCCUUGGCGGCGCGAUGGCGGAGGAGGCUGCAACGAGUUCCAUGGCAGGAGAGUUAGCGGUGCCGGAAGGCGCGAAAAAGAUUCAGAUAUACUCCACGUCGUUGUCCUCUUCUUCAGCUAGACAAGUCACCCCCUUUUGGAAAGAGAAGUAUGAGAAAGAUGCUAAGAAAUACUGGGAUCUCUUCUACAAGCGCCACCAAGACAGGUUUUUCAAGGAUCGACACUACUUGGAUAAGGAAUGGGGCGAUCACUUUUUGGAUAGAGAGGUUGGAAAACUUGUUGUAUUGGAGGUUGGUUGUGGAGCUGGGAACACAAUUUUUCCCUUGGUUGCAACAUAUCCACAUAUAUUUGUUCAUGCCUGUGAUUUUUCACCACGUGCUAUUGAGUUGGUCAAGGUUUGUUUUCUUUUUUUAUAUCACUUAGACAUGGUGUCUAGUUUCAGAUUAUUGAAAUUCCUGCAGCCUGCUAAGAAGUAAUACAUUUCAAAAUUGUUUUACCACUUAUACUGCUACUACCAUCGUUUAAAAUCUAAAUUCGUACCGAGUUUUCGGUCCCAAAUCAGAACGAUAAACGAUCGCAGGCAUCUCACCGCAACACAUAGAGCCGCGCGCCUCUCUAUAGCGACCCGUGGGGGUUUCCACAUGCCCACGGGGUUGUGCGUCUUCAAAGUUUCCACUGUGGUGCCUCGGGGUCGGGGCACUUCCGUAACCCGCUUUGGUCGUCACGGGUAGAGAGCCACAAGGACUUCUCAGGCGAUCACAUCAAUGCAUUUGUUUGUGACCUUACAAUACAUAAUCUCAGUGAGAUAAUAGCACCUGCUUCAGUGGACAUUGUAACCAUGUUUCUCCUGAAAAGAUGCCUUUGGUGUUAGACAAUCUCAGGAGGGUUCUUAAACCAAAUGGCCUUGUACUCUUCCGUGAUUAUGCAACUGGUGAUCUUGCACAGGAAAGGCUGAUUUCCAAGGAGCAGGAGAUCAGCGAGAACUUUUUUGUCAGAGCGUGCUUAUUAUUUUACCAACAAGUUCCUGGUAAGCCUGUUCCAGCAGAGUGGGUUCAAUGUGGUCAAUGUUCGUAUCUGCAAUAAGCAAGUGAUGAACCGUUCACAGGAACUAGUAAUGAAUAGGAGAUGGAUUCAAGCUGUCUUCUCCAAUAAACCUACUGAACAAAACAAUGAACCCAUCAUUCAUAAUUAUUCUAACAAUUAUGGCGAUGCUGAGGUUGACAUAUCUGGCAGUGUCGCUGAUCUGUUUUGUUUGUCAUCAUCUGCUGAUGAGGUUAUCAAGAUUGAAGUUAAAGGCUGCAGCUUCAGGAUAAAAGCACUGACGAAAGAAUACCAACAUACUUGCAAAUCCACGGGGCUCAUGUUGUGGGAAUCAGCUCGUCUAAUGUGCAACAUAAUUGCAGAAAACCCUUCAAUUAUUGUAGGAAAGAGGAUGCUGGAAUUGGGUUGCGGUUCUGCUGGUAUCUGCUCAAUGAUUGCUGCUCAGCAUGCAGAAGUGGUAGUUUCUACCGAUGGGGAUACAGAAGCUCUUAGUCUCCUAAGAGAGAACAUUUCCACAAACUUGCCGAAGAAUUUGCUUAAUAAAAUUGUUAUUAAUAGAUUGAUCUGGGGGAACAUGGAGGAUGUUCAAGCCAUCAAGGAUUUUGGUUGCUAUGACAGAGGUUUCGAUAUAAUAAUAGGAACUGAUGUAACUUACAGUUAUGGUGCUAUUUCACCUCUGUUCGAGACUGCAAGAGAGCUGAUAUGUAGCCAGGAAAAUGAUAAUCACAAACCAGCUCUUGUCCUAUGCCACAUUGAGAGAAGAAUCAAUGAAGACUCAAUAGUUUCUACUGCAUCAACCUUUGGUUUUAAGCUUGUUGAUAGGUGGGUGAAUGGCAUCCAUUCAAGUGAUGGUAUCAUAAGAUCUUGGUUCUCGGAAGGUGAUAAUUACAUGAGCUUUUUCAGAAACACGCCCUUGACUAUCUUGUAUUUUCAUUCCUGAGAGACAAUUUUGACUGCUUUAUGAAUCAUUCAUUAAAUGGCUCUCUAAUUGUCAUGAUGGUAGUACAAGUUGAGACGAGACAACACGAAGCAAAGUCCGUUUGGUUUUAAUGAAAAAUGUUGACUGAAGAGAAGAUUCAAGCCCAUGAUUUUAUGAGGGAGAUCAGGUUCAUAUUGUUAUUUUGUCAUUGUUUAUUUCUUUAUUCUCAAUGUUACGUGAUGGAAAUGACUAAAUUUGAUUGGCAUAUUUUCCCCUGAUAAAAUCUUCUAAUGAUU